CCUGGCUAAGUUUUUAAAAAUCUUUUGAGAGCUGGAGUCUCACUGUGUUGCCCAGGCUGGUCUCAAACUCCUGGCUUCCUACCACCUCCGCCUCCCGAGGUGCUGAGAUUACAGUGCAAAUAGAGGUGACAUCGUCAGUGCAUUUAAGUACCUACAGUGGUCAAAGCAUUAAGUCAUACGCCUUGGAGGGAAUUUAAAGAAAAGUAUGGACCCUGGAGUUAGGGGCUUCAAAUCUAGCAAGAUAGACAACGGUCAGUUUACUGGAAGAUUUGUAUGUGUGCUGGCUGGAAAUCUGAUUCCAUUUCUGCUGGUUCUCUGUGCCUGGAAUGGAAUUGUUUUGGCUUAGGACCUGCCAGCUCUGUUUGGUCAGUUCCCAACUGCAUACUUUUUCAGUAUUCCUGCUUAAGACCCUGUUUUGUAUGGAUACAAAUAAAUGGAAUCAGACCCCAAGGUGACUUGGUUUCUGUGCCCAGUGGCCACCUAUCUUGAGUGUGUAGCCUCUACUGAGACACACAAUUGGCAACGCUGUUUCCAACUAUUUUGAAAGAGUGACUUCCAGGGCCACGCAUUUAGUCCUCUGUAGGAAAAGCGCUCAGGAGAGGGCCUGGGGCCUAGGAGCACUUUAGACCUGUUAGCCCACGUCCUUAUUGUCAUUUACGUUUUUUCCUCUGACUUUCAGAGCUUUUUUAGCAUCUUCAGCUGUGAAAUUCCCUGGGGGGCUGCAGCAUGGCAAAGUUUUGGGGUUUUAACAGGUGCUAUUUGCUGCAGGAAGAUGCCUGCCCCUUCCCAAGGCAGGGAAGGGGGGUAGUUUAUUGGAGGCUGUCGUUUUUUACUGUCUUAGUUUGCAUGUUUGGGCCACUCACGAAAACAUCCACCCUGCAGUAAAGUUACCUAUGUUCUCCUGUACGUGUUUGUCUGUAGAGGAAGAACACGUAUUAAUUGCCUAAAUUAAUAUAUUGUGUUAAGAUGUGAUAUGUACUGGAAAAAAUAGUAUGAAUUGAUGUUUCUGGAAUAAACCACUUUGAUGCCCAAUUACUGACUCAUUUAUCUGUGUGGUGUUUUCCUGUAUGCGGAAUGUCGGCUUCCUCACCGCGCUGGAGGGCGCCUUGGCUGUCCUCAGAAGAUCCGGCUCCAUGGAGUUGGUGCCUACAGGCCUAGACGUGGUGAUGCUGGACUUGUUUUCCCCAAAGAACACGUCUGAAAUAGGCUUCAGUGUCGUGGCUGGGCCGUGGCGUUCGUGACUUUCUGUUCCGGAUUGUGUGAGGGGGGGCUCAGGUGGGCGGAGUCCUGUCCUUCAAUGACGGCUGGAAACUUCGCCAGAUGGCCCAUGUCAGGAGACUCUGUCGUGCCUUGCAAGGCUGUCCUUAACUCUUUUACCAUCCAAUGGGGAAGUGGUCUCUCCCAGAAGUGGGCUCUGACAUGUCCCUGUAACCGACUGAAGUGGAAGCACAAAUGCCAGGGCGUGUGAGGCCACCAGAGAAUAAGAAGUAAGUGCCACCGGGCCUCUCGGCACAGCCUUGAUAAUUAGCUAACCUUGACUCAGCAUUGUUCAAAGGGAUUGUUCAGACUUAUCUCUUGCUGCUUUUGCUGUGGUGGAGAAGAGGUUGGACUCUGGAGGCUGCAAUUUUAGUUACGAUCAUCACGUGCCCCCCCAGUGUCUUCUCUGCACCCUCCCCUAGUCUACACCCCCAUGCUGCCGGUGUCAGCACCUUCUCGUACUUUCCUUGAGAUACCGCCCAACACUGUGCUAAGAACGGAGAAGACAUGGCCUGAGGAACAAGGAGGUGUCCCUACCUCGGGUUAACCCUGCUGGGGAAGACGUAAUCUGAUAAUUCUCAUCCACCUGCUGGUGGCCUUGCAGGUGUGAGCCCGCUGCUCAUACUGCAUUCUGAGUUUCAGACUCAGGCCCCUGAGGGGGGCUCGGCUGAGCAACCAAAGGGACCAGAGUGCCUUGCGAUGGGUGUCAGGACGUGGCAUCCUCAGCCUCGUCCCAAGGGCACCUGAUAAGUGUGGCCCUUACACAGCGUCCUUCAAGGCUGCCCGC